rnacentral:rRNA from 1 species
AUGUCAGGCAGAGCAAUUGGCGUUGCCCUUCGCAAAAUGAUAACUGAAGUUGCCGUCCUGGAAGACGUCGAAGAAGACGAAAGGCGGGCAGUAGACCGUAAUGUCAUAGAGCCUGGAGUAGGCCACCCCAACCUUGAAACGGACCAGUGCUGUGACCAUGAUUGUCAACGUCGGAUGGCCUCUGUAGAACUUCUUCAGGUAAAGGUCCAACAAGUCCUUCUCCACGAACGCUGCCACGGCCAUGGAUAUUUGGCUGUGGCGCGGCUGGUACAGCGGCAUGGAUCCAUUCACCGUCGCCGGCACCGAGUUGUUCUUCAAGCGCUUACUGGGGAGCUGCAGGCUCACGAUGACUUCCCUAUAGUCCACCCCUGCGCGGCGGCUGGGGUUGUCGACGGCGAGGGUGAAGUUGAUACUCCUACUCCUACUGUUGGCCAUGGAAAUUAUGCAUCUGCGCGCGGAGCAGUUGGCACUAUAGCUAACCGAUGCUGA